rnacentral:rRNA from 1 species
UACGGGGGGAGCAAGCGUUGUUCGGAAUCACUGGGCGUAAAGGGAGUCUAGGCGGUUUGGUAAGUGGGAUGUGAAAUCCCCGGGCUCACCCCGGGACCUGCAUCCCAAACUGCUGAGCUUGAGUACAGGAGAGGGUGGGGGAAUUCCAGGUGUAGCGGUGAAAUGCGUAGAUAUCUGGAGGAACACCGGUGGCGAAGGCGGCAUCCUGGACCGGUAUUGACGCUGAGGAGCGAAAGCGUGGGGAGCGAACAGG